CCCAGGGGAGCACGGAUUCCUGGGAGGAUCCGGGAGUCUAGACGAGCUAGACUUAUAUUUCUCUUCCUGAGGAGAGAAGACUAGGACACAGACAUGUACAGAGGGAAGGCCGUGUGAGGCCGGGGGAGACGACAGUCAUUUAUAAGCCAAAGACAGAAUCCUCAGAGGAAACCUGUGAGCACCUUGAUCUUCGAUGCCUCGUCUCCAGAACUGGGGACUCCACAAGAUCAACUCUAUGAACCACAAAGCAGGCCCUCACCAGAUGUUGAAUCCGCUGGCACUUUGAUCUUGGUCUUCCCAGCAUCCAGAACUGUGAGAAAUAAAUGUCUGUUGUUUACGCCA